CCUACGGGAGGCAGCAGUGGGGAAUCUUCCGCAAUGGACGAAAGUCUGACGGAGCAACGCCGCGUGAGUGAUGAAGGCCUUCGGGUCGUAAAACUCUGUUGUUAGGGAAGAACAAGUAUCGGAGUAACUGCCGGUACCUUGACGGUACCUAACCAGAAAGCCACGGCUAACUACGUGCCAGCAGCCGCGGUAAU
rnacentral:rRNA from 1 species